rnacentral:rRNA from 1 species
UUUGUUGUGCCAUAUCACCCUGCAGCCCAAGACCGGUUACUCGCUGAAACUAAGCAGGGCUGAGCCUGGUCAGUACCUGGAUAGGAGACCACUAGGGAACACUAGGUUGCUGUUGGAA